rnacentral:rRNA from 1 species
UACGGAGGGGGCUAGCGUUGUUCAGAAUUACUGGGCGUAAAGCGCACGUAGGCGGCUUUGCAAGUUAGAGGUGAAAGCCCGGGGCUCAACUCCGGAAUUGCCUUUAAAACUGCAUCGCUAGAAUUGUGGAGAGGUAAGUGGAAUUCCGAGUGUAGAGGUGAAAUUCGUAGAUAUUCGGAAGAACACCAGUGGCGAAGGCGACUUACUGGACACAUAUUGACGCUGAGGUGCGAAAGCGUGGGGAGCAAACAGG